AGUGAACGCGGGCGGUAGGCCUAACACAUGCAAGUCGAACGGCAGCACAGUAAGAGCUUGCUCUUACGGGUGGCGAGUGGCGGACGGGUGAGGAAUACAUCGGAAUCUACUUUUUCGUGGGGGAUAACGUAGGGAAACUUACGCUAAUACCGCAUACGACCUACGGGUGAAAGCAGGGGAUCUUCGGACCUUGCGCGAUUGAAUGAGCCGAUGUCGGAUUAGCUAGUUGGCGGGGUAAAGGCCCACCAAGGCGACGAUCCGUAGCUGGUCUGAGAGGAUGAUCAGCCACACUGGAACUGAGACACGGUCCAGACUCCUACGGGAGGCAGCAGUGGGGAAUAUUGGACAAUGGGCGCAAGCCUGAUCCAGCCAUACCGCGUGGGUGAAGAAGGCCUUCGGGUUGUAAAGCCCUUUUGUUGGGAAAGAAAAGCAGCAGGUUAAUACCCCGCUGUUCUGACGGUACCCAAAGAAUAAGCACCGGCUAACUUCGU
rnacentral:rRNA from 1 species